rnacentral:rRNA from 1 species
UAGGGAAUCUUCCGCAAUGGGCGAAAGCCUGACGGAGCAACGCCGCGUGAGUGAUGAAGGUCUUCGGAUCGUAAAACUCUGUUAUUAGGGAAGAACAAAUGUGUAAGUAACUAUGCACAUCUUGACGGUACCUAAUCAGAAAGCCACGGCUAACUACGUGCCAGCAGCCGCGGUAAUACGUAGGUGGCAAGCGUUAUCCGGAAUUAUUGAGCGUAAAGCGCGCGUAGGCGGUUUUUUAAGUCUGAUGUGAAAGCCCACGGCUCAACCGUGGAGGGUCAUUGGAAACUGGAAAACUUGAGUGCAGAAGAGGAAAGUGGAAUUCCAUGUGUAGCGGUGAAAUGCGCAGAGAUAUGGAGGAACACCAGUGGCGAAAGCGGCUCUCUGGUCUGUAACUGACGCUGAGGCUCGAAAGCGUGGGGAGCGAACAGG